rnacentral:rRNA from 1 species
UACGGGUAGCUGGUCUGAGAGGAUGAUCAGCCACACUGGAACUGAGACACGGUCCAGACUCCUACGGGAGGCUGCAGUCGAGAAUCAUUGUCAAUGCACGAAAGUGUGAACAUGCGACGCCGCGUGGAGGAAGACGGCCUUCGGGUUGUAAACUCCUGUCAGCAGGGAGGAAGGGCAGCAUUACUAAUAGUGGUGUUGUUUGACAGUACCUGCAGAGGAAGUCACGGCUAACUCUGUGCCAGCAGCCGCGGUAAUACAGAGGUGGCGAACGUUGUUCGGAUUUACUGGGCGUAAAGGGUCCGCAGGCGGUCCUGUGUGUCAGAUGUGAAAGCCAACGGCUUAACCGUUGAAUUGCAUUUGAAACUGCAGGACUAGAGUACUGGAAGGGAGAAGGGAACACUUGGUGUAGCGGUGAAAUGCGUAGAUAUCAAGUGGAACACCGGAGGCGAAGGCGCUUCUCUGGACAGAUACUGACGCUCAUGGACGAAAGUUAGGGUAGCGAAAGGGAUUAGAUACCCCUGUAGUCCCAACCGUAAACGGUGUGCACUAGACGUGGGUGGAUUUACCCCCAUCCGUGUCUGAGCUAACGCAUUAAGUGCACCGCCUGGGGAGUACGGUCGCAAGAUUAAAACUCAAAGGAAUUGACGGGGACCCGCACAAGCGGUGGAGCAUGUGGCUUAAUUCGAUGCAACGCGAAGAACCUUACCUGGACUUGACAUAUAGCUGCAUACGACCUGAAAGGGACGUAGCCUUCGAGGGUGCUAUACAGGUGCUGCAUGGCUGUCGUCAGCUCGUGCCGUGAGGUGUUGGGUUAAGUCCCGCAACGAGCGCAACCCUUGUGUUUAGUUGCCAGCACGUAAUGGUGGGAACUCUAAACAGACUGCUGGUGAAAACCAGAGGAAGGUGGGGAUGACGUCAAGUCAGUAUGGUCCUUAUGUCCAGGGCUGCACACGUGCUACAAUGGGCGAUACAAUGGGAAGCCAAGCCGCGAGGUGGAGCAAAUCCUCAAAAUCGUCCCCAGUUCGGAUUGAAGUCUGAAACUCGACUUCAUGAAGUUGGAAUCGCUAGUAAAGGCGUAUCAGCUACGACGCCUUGAAUACGUUCCCGGGUCUUGUACACACCGCCCGUCACAUCAUGGAAGUUUGUUGCACCCGAAGUCGCUGAUCCAACCUUUUACCAGGAGGAAGGCGCCUAAGGUGUGAUAGAUGACUGGGAUGAAGCCGUAACAAGGUA